rnacentral:rRNA from 1 species
UACGGAGGGUGCAAGCGUUGUUCGGAUUUAUUGGGCGUAAAGCGCGUGUAGGCGGUUUCUUAAGUCUGAUGUGAAAGCCCCGGGCUCAACCCGGGAAGUGCACUCGAAACUUCUUUUCUUGAGUGCCGGAGAGGAAAGCGGAAUUCCUGGUGUAGAGGUGAAAUUCGUAGAUAUCAGGAGGAACACCAGUGGCGAAGGCGGCUUUCUGGACGGUAACUGACGCUGAGACGCGAAAGCGUGGGGAGCAAACAGG